rnacentral:tRNA from 1 species
GUAAGUAUAGUUUAACUAAGACAUCAGAUUGUGAUUCUGAAAAUAGGGGUUAAACCCCCCUUACUCACC